rnacentral:rRNA from 1 species
GAUGAACGCUGGCGGCGUGCCUAAUACAUGCAAGUCGAGCGAAUGGAUUAAGAGCUUGCUCUUAUGAAGUUAGCGGCGGACGGGUGAGUAACACGUGGGUAACCUGCCCAUAAGACUGGGAUAACUCCGGGAAACCGGGGCUAAUACCGGAUAACAUUUUGAACCGCAUGGUUCGAAAUUGAGAGGCGGCUUCGGCUGUCACUUAUGGAUGGACCCGCGUCGCAUUAGCUAGUUGGUGAGGUAACGGCUCACCAAGGCAACGAUGCGUAGCCGACCUGAGAGGGUGAUCGGCCACACUGGGACUGAGACACGGCCCAGACUCCUACGGGAGGCAGCAGUAGGGAAUCUUCCGCAAUGGACGAAAGUCUGACGGAGCAACGCCGCGUGAGUGAUGAUGGCUUUCGGGUCGUAAAACUCUGUUGUUAGGGAAGAACAAGUGCUAGUUGAAUAAGCUGGCACCUUGACGGUACCUAACCAGAAAGCCACGGCUAACUACGUGCCAGCAGCCGCAGUAA